rnacentral:rRNA from 1 species
GUAGGUGGCAAGCGUUGUCCGGAUUUACUGGGCGUAAAGAGCGCGCAGGCGGUCAUUCAAGUCGAGUGUGAAAGCCCCCGGCUCAACUGGGGAGGGUCACUCGAUACUGUUUGACUCGAAGGCGGGAGAGGGAAGUGGAAUUCCCGGUGUAGUGGUGAAAUGCGUAGAUAUCGGGAGGAACACCAGUGGCGAAGGCGACUUCCUGGCCCGUUCUUGACGCUGAGGCGCGAAAGCUAGGGGAGCAAACGGGAUUAGAUACCCCGGUAGUCCUAGCCGUAAACGAUGGACACUAGGUGUUGGUGGUAUCAACCCCGCCAGUGCCGUAGCUAACGCAUUAAGUGUCCCGCCUGGGGAGUACGGCCGCAAGGCUA